AUUGAACGCUGGCGGCAGGCCUAACACAUGCAAGUCGAACGGUAACAGGGAUCAGCUUGCUGAUUCGCUGACGAGUGGCGGACGGGUGAGUAAUGUCUGGGAAACUGCCUGAUGGAGGGGGAUAACUACUGGAAACGGUAUCUAAUACCGCAUAACGUCGCAAGACCAAAGAGGGGGACCUUCGGGCCUCUUGCCAUCGGAUGUGCCCAGAUGGGAUUCGCUAGUAGGUGGGGUAACGGCUCACCUAGGCGACGAUCCCUAGCUGGUCUGAGAGGAUGACCAGCCACACUGGAACUGAGACACGGUCCAGACUCCUACGGGAGGCAGCAGUGGGGAAUAUUGCACAAUGGGCGAAAGCCUGAUGCAGCCAUGCCGCGUGUAUGAAGAAGGCCUUCGGGUUGUAAAGUACUUUCAGCGGGGAGGAAGGGAGUAAAGUUAAUACCUUUGCUCAUUGACGUUACCCGCAGAAGAAGCACCGGCUAACUCCGUG
rnacentral:rRNA from 1 species